AUUGAACGCUGGCGGCAGGCCUAACACAUGCAAGUCGAACGAGUGGCGGACGGGUGAGUACUGUCUGGGAAACUGCCCGAUGGAGGGGGAUCACUACUGGAAACGGUAGCUAAUACCGCAUACCAUCGGAUGUGCCCAGAUGGGAUUAGCUUGUAGGUGAGGUAACGGCUCACCUAGGCGACGAUCCCUAGCUGGUCUGAGAGGAGGACCAGCAAAAAGGGAACUGAGACACGGUCCAGAAGCCGACGGGAGGCAGCAGUGGGGAAUAUUGCACAAUGGGAGCAAGCCUGAUGCAGCCAUGAGGCGUGUAUGAAGAAGGCCUUCGGGUUGUAAAGUACUUUCAGCGGGGAGGCGUUACCCGCAGAAGAAGCACCGGCUAACUCCGUGCCAGCAGCCGCGGUAAUAC
rnacentral:rRNA from 1 species